rnacentral:tRNA from 1 species
GUCUCUGUGGCACAGUGGUAGAGCAUCGGAGUACAGAAUCCGAAGGUCUGAGGUUCGAUUCCUCAUGGGGACU